rnacentral:tRNA from 1 species
GGCUUCGUAGCUCAGCUGGUAGAGCUCUUGCCGCGUUGAGGCAUGCUGUGUGUCGCUGGCUCGAAUCCAGCCGAAGCCC